ACGUUGUGUGACAUGUCCGUUUCGGUGAUAUACUCUGAUAUUUAUUUAAUAUUUAAUUAUUUUGGGAUAACGGAGUGUUACAAUU
rnacentral:pre_miRNA from 1 species